UACGUAGGAUGCAAGCGUUGUCCGGAAUUAUUGGGCGUAAAGAGCGAGCAGGCGGUUUGGAAAGUUGGACGUGAAAUUUUAGGGCUUAACCCUAAAGGGUCGUCCAAAACUCCCAGACUAGAGUGCAGGAGAGGAAAGCGGAAUUCCCGGUGUAGUGGUGAAAUGCGUAGAGAUCCGGAGGAACACCAAAGGCGAAGGCAGUGUCCUGGGGAGUACCUGACGCUCAGGUGCGAAAGCCAGGGGAGCGAACGGG
rnacentral:rRNA from 1 species